AUCCUUUUGUAGUUCAUAAACAUGAUGAUUGGGUUUUCAUGCCCAUGCGUGAGAUGUGCCUCCUUCAAUCCUCCUUAGGGCAUCAGCAUAUUACCCAUCUGACA